AAUAUAUGGGGCAGUGGA
rnacentral:misc_RNA from 1 species